rnacentral:rRNA from 1 species
AACGCGAAGAACCUUACCUACCCUUGACAUGUCUAGAAGUUGCCAGAGAUGGCUUCGUGCUCGAAAGAGAACUAGAACACAGGUGCUGCAUGGCCGUCGUCAGCUCGUGUCGUGAGAUGUUGGGUUAAGUCCCGCAACGAGCGCAACCCUUAUCAUUAGUUGCUACGCAAGGGCACUCUAAUGAGACUGCCGGUGACAAACCGGAGGAAGGUGGGGAUGACGUCAGGUCAUCAUGGCCCUUAUGGGUAGGGCUACACACGUCAUACAAUGGCCGGUACAGAGGGCUGCCAACCCGCGAGGGGGAGCUAAUCUCAGAAAACCGGUCGUAGUCCGGAUCGCAGUCUGCAACUCGACUGCGUGAAGUCGGAAUCGCUAGUAAUCGCGGAUCAGCUUGCCGCGGUGAAUACGUUCCCGGGCCUUGUACACACCGUGUCGA